rnacentral:lncRNA from 1 species
AGUCACAGAAGAACACGUACCAUACAAUCCCACUUAUGUGAGGUCCCUAGAGUAGUCACUUUCAUAGAGAUAGUAGCUGACAGGAGGAGCAUGGGGAGUGACUGUUUAAUGAAUACAGACUUGAAAUUUGGGAAGAGGUAAAAGUUCUGGAGAUGGAUGGUGGUGAUGGGUGGUGAUGAUGGACAUUGGAGAUGGGCAAUGGACAUGGAUGGUGGUGAUGGAUGGUAUAAAUGGAUAUUGGAUGUGGACAGCGGACGUGGACAGUGGAGAUAGAGGGUGGUGAUGGCUGGUGGACAUGGACAGUGAAGAUAGAGAGUAGUGAUGGAUGGUGGAGAUAGAGGGCGGUGAUGGACAGUGGAGAUAGAGGGUGGUGAUGGACAGUGGAGAUAGAGGGUGGUGAUGGACAGUGGACAUGGACAGUGGAGAUAGAGGGUGGUGAUGGACAGUGGAGAUAGAGGGUGGUGAUGGACAGUGGACAUGGAUAGUGGAGACAGAGGGUAGUGAUGGACAGUGGAGAUAGAGGGUGGUGAUGGACAGUGGACAUGGACAGUGGAGAUAAAGGGUGGUGAUGGACAGUGGAGAUAGAGGGUGGUGAUGGACAGUGGAGAUAGAGGGUGGUGAUGGACAGUGGAGAUAGAGGGUGGUGAUGAACAGUGGAGAUAGAGGGUAGUGAUGGACAGUGGACAUGGACAGUGGAGAUAGAGGGUGGUGAUGGAUGGUGGACAUGGACAGUGGAGAUAGAGGGUGGUGAUAGACGGUGGACAUGGACAGUGGACAUGGACGGUGGGGACAGAGGGUGGUGAUGGACGGUGGACACAGACGGUGGAGAUAGAGGGUGGUGAUGGACGGUGGACACGGACAGUGGAGAUAGAGGGUGGUGAUGGACAGUGGAGAUAGAGGGUGGUGAUGGUCAGUGGAGAUAGAGGGUGGUGAUGGACGGUGGAGAUAGAGGGUGGUGAUGGACAGUGGACAUGGACAGUGGAGACAGAGGGGGUGAUGGACAAUGGACAUGGACAGUGGAGAUACAGGGUGGUGAUGGACGGUGGACAUGGACAGUGGAGACCGGGGGUGAUGAACAGUGGACAUGGACAGUGGAGACAGAGGGUGGUGAUGGACCCUGGAGAUAGAGGGUGGUGAUGGACAGUGGAGAUAGAGGGUGGUGAUGGGCGGUGGACAUGGACAGUGGAGAUAGAGGGUGGUGAUGGACAGUGGACAUGGACAGUGGAGAUAGAGGGUAGUGAUAGACGGUGGACAUGGAUAGUGGAGAUAGAGGGUGGUGAUGGACGGUGGACAUGGACAGUGGAGAUAGAGGGUGGUGAUGGACGGUGGACAUGGACAGUGGAGAUAGAGGGUGGUGAUGGAUGGUGGACAUGGACAGUGGAGACAGAGGGUGGUGAUGGACGGUGGAGAUAGAGGGUAGUGAUGGACGGUGGACAUGGACAGUGGAGACGGAGGGUAGUGAUGGAUGGUGGACAUGGACAGUGGAGACAGAGGGUGGUGAUGGAG